UGGGCGGCCCCCGAUCGCCAUUUAGGUUGGAGGGCACGUCUGCCUGGGUGUCACAUAUCGAAGCCUCCUUGCCAAUUUCCCUGAUUAUUGUGCAGGGUGGAUGUUGGCCUCCCGUGAGCUCUUUCGUCUCAUGGUUGGUUGAAAAUUGAGACCUUGGUAGGGUGUGCCAUGAUAGAUGGUGGUUGUGUGACCCACGAGACCAAUCAUGCGCUGCUCUAUUGAAUUUGGCCUCCUUUACCCAUAUGCGUUUCCAAACGCUCGUGAUGAGACCUCAGGUCAGGCGGGGCUACCCGCUGAAUUUAAGCAUAUCAAUAAGCGGAGGAAAAGAAACUAACAAGGAUUCCCUUAGUAACGGCGAGCGAACCGGGAUAAGCCCACCAUGAGAAUCGGUCGCCCUCGGCGUUCGAAUUGUAGUUGAGAAAAACCGUCAAAGGGG
rnacentral:rRNA from 1 species